UUUUCCUCCUGUAGUCUGUAGGAAUAUCCUCCAUUAUUUUUCUGUACAUACUCCCUGAUUUUUUUGAAGUCGCCUAUGUUUUUCGAUUUAAUUAUGUGCUUUUUGCCAGAAAUCGUGACUUGGAAUGGUUCCAUGCACAAGUCUUUUAGUUCUUGGCAAAGAAGCUUCCAAUCUGCUACAUUUUCUGCAAUAACAGGAGGAAUUCUCGGCUUUUUCACGUUAGUGACUGUGGUCCAUGGGCCAUCGUUGUCGUUAUUUUCUUCAUCGUCUUGCGGUGGGUGAGCUGCGUUCAUUUGUUGAGAAACUCCAGUGACGGGACUUUGUUCGUCGAUGUCCAUUCUAGGCGUCUUCAGAUUACGCUCGCUCCUAGUUGGCGAUCUUGAGUCAUCCUGGGAGCCGCGAGUUCUCUUCUUUGAUUGAACCGUUUCCUCAAGUUUAUACUCGAUUCCACAUUUGUCUAGGAUCUUCGUUAUUAAGGAGGCUUCGAUUAUGCAUAGUUUCUCGCCGGUUGGUCCUAUCGUCGAUUUAAUUACAAUCGGUGGCAUAUUAUUUUUGGCCUCCAAUUCCGACCUAAGCUUAUUGGGCGAUAAACCAUCUAAUAUAUACAUUCUAAACAGAGUAAAUAUAAUCAAAAUAAAAAAAGUGAUAUAUGUAAAUGACUAUUGAAAAUUAAGAGAUAUCGAAUUAAUUAAUGAAUAAGUGAUAUAUGUAAAUGACUAAUGAAAAUUAAGAGAUAUCGAAUUAAUUAAACAAAUAAAAUAUCAUAAAAAUUGAAGUAACUGUGAAAUAAAUAUACAAAUAAUAGUAAUAGAUAUCUGAUUAAAAAUGGAAUAAAAUAACCAUGUAAAUAGCAUGAUCAUCUAAGAGGUUCUAAAUUGAGUAUAUACAUCUGGCAAGUCAAUCUUUCUAUUGAUACUAUUUUUAUUUUCUAAUGAGCUCCAGCUUUCUAAAAAUAAACGGCAAUGCUUUUCUUUGAUGUUUUGAUGUAUUAUAGAUGUGUGAUCGAAGUCUGGAGUGUGACUAUUGUUGAAUGCAUGAUCUACCAGUAGAGAUGUCGGGUUAUGGUGCUUUAGUGCGGAUUUAUGUUGGUUAAUUCUUUCAGAUAAAGGUUUGCUGGUUUCUCCUAUGUAUAUUGCCUGGCAGGAUUUGCAUGGUAUUUUAUAAACCACAUUCGCUCUAUCUUCUGGCUUGUAGAUUUGUUUUGUAUCAGGGUGGCGGAAGAUGUUUCUUAAAUUCUGGUUGGGUUGAUAUCUGGUUGUAAUAUUGUGUUUUUUUAAACUUCUGGCUAUUCUUUCACAGCCAUAGCUGUAAGGUAGGGAGCAAAACAUGUUCGGGGUUGAGAUCUGUCUAUUGUUCGUGGAUGGAAUUUUUGGUGCAUAUAAUUGCUUUUUGAUGAAUUCUUUAGGAUAAUUAUUGCUUUGAAGUUCUUGAAAUAAUCUAGCUCUUUCAAUUUUUUCAUCAGUUUUAUCUGUAAAAUGUGUAGUCAACCUCUUGGACAGUGUUUUGACUACCGUAACCUUAUGACAGAUACAAAACAAAUCUACAAGCCAGAAGAUAGAGCGAAUGUGGUUUAUAAAAUACCAUGCAAAUCCUGCCAGGCAAUAUACAUAGGAGAAACCAGCAAACCUUUAUCUGAAAGAAUUAACCAAUAUAAAUCCGCACUAAAGCACCAUAACCCGACAUCUCUACUGGUAGAUCAUGCAUUCAACAAUAGUCACACUCCAGACUUCGAUCACACAUCUAUAAUACAUCAAAACAUCAAAGAAAAGCAUUGCCGUUUAUUUUUAGAAAGCUGGAGCUCAUUAGAAAAUAAAAAUAGUAUCAAUAGAAAGAUUGACUUGCCAGAUGUAUAUACUCAAUUUAGAACCUCUUAGAUGAUCAUGCUAUUUACAUGGUUAUUUUAUUCCAUUUUUAAUCAGAUAUCUAUUACUAUUAUUUGUAUAUUUAUUUCACAGUUACUUCAAUUUUUAUAUUUUAUUUGUUUAAUUAAUUCGAUAUCUCUUAAUUUUCAUUAGUCAUUUACAUAUAUCACUUAUUCAUUAAUUAAUUCGAUAUCUCUUAAUUUUCAAUAGUCAUUUACAUAUAUCACUUUUUUUAUUUUGAUUAUAUUUACUCUGUUUAGAAUGUAUAUAUUAGAUGGUUUAUCGCCCAAUAAGCUUAGAAGACGUCCAGUGGCUCACCUGGGGCGCGCGACCUGCUGCGUGCUUCACUACAAAACACCUCGAAGAAGAUGGAAGAUUGAUCCAUCGAAAUAUCGGUAAAUAAAUAAUCUUAUUUAAAUCCAAAAUAAGCCUUAUUUUUAAAAUAUAAACAUAUUAUGGAUUGCUCUAUAUUCAAUAUAUAAGUUUAUAGAGAAUUGUUUUAACAAAUGUUCGUUAGACAAACCUUUACUCGGGUAAAACCCGGGCGAAGCCGGGUACGUCCGCUAGUAUAUAAAUGAAUGUAUGUGUGUCUGUCUGUCCUUUAUGCCUGACCAAACCACUCAUUGGAACGCCAUGAAACUUUGGGAAGUUAUUUAAUAUAGUACUGGGAAGGUUUCUAGCAAAUAAAAUUUUUGAAAUAACUUUUCGCCUAAAAAUACUCAAGAUAAAUAUUCUAAUUUAUCUGUUAUAAUUCAACAAUCUGCUCUAAAUAUUAUCAUGAUGAUACGAUGAUUUUGUAAUGUAGAAAAUUAGGAAAGACAAAAUUCAGGAUGACACGGCAAUUUAUUUGAGACAAGAAUAAUGAUACAAUUCCAAGGCAAGAUACUAUUCCUUUAACUUCCAAUUACCGAGGGAACCAAUUAAUAUUGAUUUUAUUCAACCUAUCGAGUAUUUUUCAAGGGACCGGGAAAAAAUGUUCACAUUAUCGAGAGAUUCGUUAGACAAACCUUUACUCGGGUAAAACCCGGGCGAAGCCGGGUACAUCCAUACAAGAAUAAUGAUACAAUUCCAAGGCAAGAUACUAUUCCUUUUACUUCCAAUUACCGAGGGAACCAAUUAAUAUUGAUUUUAUUCAACUUAGAGUAUUUUUCAAGGGACCGGGAAAAAAUGUUCACUUUAUCGAGAGAUUCGUUAGACAAACCUUUAUUCGGGUAAAACCCGGGCGAAGCCGGGUACGUCCGCUAGUUGUUUUAUAUAUCUAUAUCUAUUUAUUCAUAUAUUUAUCAUUAUAUAAUCAUAUUUAUUCAUAUUCAUAUUUAUUCUGUAUUUAACCUUAUAUAAUCUUACUAGACGGGUGACCCGGGCUUCGCCCCGGGAUUGACCCGUGUUCAAAUCUACCCGAGUGAUAUAUAUUUAUAUAAGAUUCUUUUAUGAUUGUUUGUUAUUAGCAUUAUCUAUUUGUUUGCAUCAGCAUAAUUUAAUCUAAUCUUUGAUAGAAGGCGCUGUUCGUGAGGUAAGUAGAAUAAUUUGAAUAUAUAGUUUUAAUAAUUGAUUUAUAUAUUUUUUAAAAUAGCCUAUCGUCUUCCCCGUAUUUUUUUUUUUUUUUUACCUAUGUAUGGAAAUUUUGGUUUGAAUUAGUGAACUACUGCGAACUUUGAGAUAGCUUGCUAAUGAGUCAGAUGAAUGAGGAAUACUACAUAUUGAUUGGUAAACUGGGGGUUUAUACUCUCAGAUGGGUUGUGAAAAUGUAUCAAAAUUAAUAAGUGAUUUCCAAGUUUUGACAUUUGCUGAAAUACUAUUUAAUGUGUGUACCUUGUACCUGAGAGGGCAGUAGGAGGAGAACUGACUGUAGUUAAAACACCAAUUUAUUGUAUUCAAUAGUAAGUUCAGGGUAUAUAAGAAACUGAGUUCAAUACAAUAGUGAUGCGGUCUGGAGGUUAAAAAGAGGAAACCGCUUGGAAAGUUUACCAUUGAUGAGCCAUUCCGUCCCUCUUUCAAUUUUUAUUCAUUUCAGAAUAAGGGCUGUAGAAAUAAAUAGUGAUUAUAUACACUGCGUGACAUUGAAAAUGGAACACCAAGAAAUAGUGGCCAGAAAGUGAUGAAACUCGGCAGACAGAGAGAGACAGGGACGAACAAUAAGUGAUCUUUAUUUCAAAAUGAUAGUCAUAAUACAGAGCGAGAACGGCGUCGGCUUAGUAGCAAGUAGGACCACCGCGGACGGCGAUGCACGCAGCAACACGUCUAGGUAGAGAGUCAAUCAGAGUACGGAUGGCGUCCUGAGGGAUGGCUCUCCAUUCCCUCUCAACCAUUUGCCACAGUUCGUCUUCUGAACGCGGCUGUGGCAAGGCAUGCAAACGGCGUCCAAUGAUGUCCCAGACGUGCUCGAUUGGUGAGAGAUCAGGAGAGUACGGUGGCCAGGGAAGCAUCUGUACAUCUUGCAGAGCUUGUUGGCUAAUGCGAGCAGUGUGCGGUCGGGCGUUAUCCUGCUGAUAAAGGGCAUUGGGUAUCCCCUGAAGGUAGGGGAGUGUCACCGGUCGCAGCACAUCAUCAACGUAUCGUUGGGCCGUCAUAGUGCCCUGAAUACGAAGUAAAGGUGACCUGGAAUCAUACGCGAUUGCGCCCCAAACCAUGGUUCCACGUUGUCUCACGGUGGGGCGUACCACAAUUGUUGCCGGAUUGGACCUUUCUCCACGUCGACACCACACGCGUACACGGCGACUAUCACUGGACAAGCAGAAACGCGACUCAUCUGAGAACACGACCCUGUGCCAUUCCAUGAUCCACGUCGAUCUAGCCCGGCACCAUUCCAAACGUUGGCGCCUAUUCGGUGGGGUCAAUGGCAGUCUUCUUAGCGGACGGCAUGAGUGCAAGCCAUUAGCAACCAAUCGACGGGAAAUGGUUCUGGUCGAGAUGGAAUGAUCUAGGGUGUCUUGCACAUGUUGCAGGAUGGCGAUACAAGUGGCUUGUGGGGCCGCCACUGCUUGUCGAAGGAUACGCCGAUCCACACGUGCUGACGUCACUCUGGUUGCACCGGCAUUCCUAUAAAAUGUCACAUUUCCUUGUUCCAACCAUUUUCUCCACAGUCGGUGCACCGUGGACGCACCAAGGUGUGUAUCAGCUGCGAUUUGACGUAUGGACCAACCUGCCCUUUUCAGUCCGAUCACCAUGCCCCUCGUAAAAGCGUCUGUCUGCUUGAACUGCCUCCGUUUACGAUGACCUGGCAUUCUCUGUUAUUACACGUGUCUUUUGACACAAGAACAAAAUUUCUACAAUGAUUUUCCUUGAAGAAAUAACGACACCAAUACUGUCCUUUCUGCAAGUUCCUUCCCUUAUAUCUUACUCCAUGUGCGCACGAGAGCUGCGCAUUUUACAUCAUUUGCAUAACUCGGUUAGGCGCGUCUACCCUGAAAUUUGCAUAAUUUUCUGGCCACUAUUUCUUGGUGUUCCAUUUUCAAUGUCACGCAGUGUAUAAAUUGGAAGAAAAGUAGCGCUAAAAUGUUUAUAAUUUUUAUCGAUAUUUGGCUCUAGGUGGAUGAUGUAUUAAAUAGUUCCUUUCAUAAAAAUCGCGAAAUCAUUAGGUGAAAGGUUUCUUUUAUAAACUUAAACCUUUCGCGCCUUACGAUUUCGUGGUUUUUAUGAAAUUAUAUAACCCAAGUAUCUAUCAUAGCUAUAAUGACUCUUCAUUGGAUUGUUCAGCAUCACAAAAUACUUGUCUAAUACCUCAUUUCUCUACUCCUAUUUGUGUUCAUCCAUUCUCUUACAACUUCAAAUAACAUCAUGUAUCAUAUGUCUGUGUGAAUGGAAGAAAUCAAAACGAAGUGUGACACAAGUACUGUGGCCUUUCUGCCAUAUAUUUGAUAUGCUUUACUCAAUUCUCUCUUUUUAUUUUCCCGGUUUGGCCUGAAAGUCUGAAAGCGUUUAUAUAUAUUGUCGCGGAGAUAAAUAAAGCAAGGGCAAAUUUGGGAAUAAUAAAUUUAUUAUAAAGGGGGGUAUUUACCUUCUAGUUCUCCAAUAAAAUUAUCUAAAAAAGGUAUUUAUAGGGAGAGAGAGGGUCAGAUAAUAAUACAACUUACCCCAAGGUAAAGAUAAUAAUGAUGAGCGUCGUCAGCCACCGUCCCGUUUUCCUUAUUUGCAGAUAAGUUACCGAGAACCCCUCACACCUGUGGUCCCCCCGGGGUCCAGGGAUGAUUGACAGGUGUCCCAUCUAGAUGGAGCUUCUUGAAAACAUUUUACCUCCUAACCUGGUAAAUAUAUGAAGUACUACAUGAGAAAUUGUGAUGAGGUAUUUAACGUCCAUUUGUUUUUGUAAGUCUGCACCGCAUGUCUUCACAUGUAAGGGAGAAAGCAAAUUUAUCUAAAGAUUCUUAAAAAUAAUUACAAAAGUCUAAUCACAAUAUACCAAUACCAAUUUCAAUAAGUUUCUUUAUUAAGUUAAAAUAACAAGUGUUAGGCCACCAUUAGGCCAAUUGUUUCGCAAAUACCUACAAUUUAUAUAAAAGUGUAGAAUUUGUUUCUUUGAUGUUGUAUCUUUAUUCCUUAGUCUAUUCCAUAUCAAUAGACAAUCUGAAGGAUAUUAAGUCAAAGUUCGAUCGAUGCUAUAGAAAGUCAUCACUUUAUUCCAGUUAUGUCUCUCAAUGAUUAUUUUAUAUUUGAAGAUGGAAUCUACCAACAGGUUUGUGGUUCCUCCAUAGGGAGCCCAAUAUCAAUAACAGCUGCAUAGAUAGCCAAAAAACUUAGCUCUCGAAGCUUUAUUCAUUUUAUAGAUAGUCAUGUUGAAAUUAUUAUUAUUAUUUUUUGCUUAUCCCAAGUACACGUGGUACAGGCCAUGAUAAUCAUGGUGAAUAGAAGUAGGCGACUGCUUUUACUGUAAGUGCACCACAUGCCUACACACGUGGAAAGCAGUUCGAUUUGCACUUACAAAUGUGCCAGAGCCCCGUUUGGCUAUUUGCACUCGCUGGUGGGGUUGGACUUUUGCAAGAAUCGGGGGCCAUUGGGGCAUUUUUUUAAAUUUAUAUAUAUGGAUCGAUAGCUUUGAAGAAAUGAUGCUGGUACUUCAAUGAUGUAUUUUUGUGAAUUUGAAACAGAUAAUCAAAUUUCAAACACUUUGAACAGUUACAACUCCCAUAUUAUAUUCACAAUGAAGACAGAAAUCAAAGCAGCACUAUCUUAUUUGGAUAUACUCAUCCUUAUAGAACCGAGCAAAGAUUUCAUUCUACAGUUUAUUACAAAAAGAGGAAUAGAGAACCAUCUUAGUUUUGAUUCAUCGGGUCCAAUAUAUAAGUCAUAAAAUAUUCAAGAUGUCAACUAAAAGAAUCACUACGCAUUGCUUUCUACCUGUUUUGAAAAAAUAGAAAAUCUCAAUAUCUUUCGAAACCUACAAAAGUCCGGAUUCCUACUAUAAUUCAUACUAAAGAACACCUACAACGAAUUCCUCCCCAAAAAAUCAGAUAGUAUAUUGAACCAAUUGUUACCUGGAAUAUUUUACAACCAAUCUAAAACGGACUUGAUGAUUUAAAGAAAUUCGGCAUAAGAUAUUAAUUCAGCAACUCUCAGUCCAUACGUCAAAUCAUAAGAAACCCAAUUACCAAAUCCCACAGUGAAAUAGAAGCUGGAAAUCCGCACAAUGCUAUAUAUCCAGUAUUCUGACAACAGCCUCAUAUAUAAUACAAACCUGCCAAUCAGUCGCCACCAGAAUCAAAGAACACAUCCGUAACAUUACAAAUCACGACAAUAAAUCAUUAGCAUAUCAGCUUGAAGAAUCCACCGGCCAUCAAUUCAACCUACAGGAUGUAAAAUGUUAUUUCCAAAACCUAUUUUAAAAUAUAAUAGGCUUAUUCUGUAAUCAUUUAUCUGAAACACCAAUAACAAUACAUAUAUAAACCGAAGAAUACCACAGAACCCUCAACACGCAGAUAAACCCACAGUAUUUUACCCAAGGAGUAAUGAUCUGUUAUCCGUUUAUCCAACAAUUUCUUAAUUAUUUUUAUAUUUUGGCCACUGGGAGGGUUCACCACUGAUGAGCCAGGCCCUCCCAUUAUUUUUUUUAUAGCAGUAAGGGCAGUAGUAUAUAAUUGUUUAAUUUUUAAAAGAAUCAUACGCGUCUAAAACAGUUACAAUUUCUCAUAAAAGAUGGAGCAUCAUAUUAUAAAUGUAUAUCAUUAAUUUUACUUAGCAUAGCUUUCAAAAUUCUUUUCGUUAUAUUUGGUAUCAGUUUUAAUGAUAAAUAUUUGAAGUAUUUUAGAAUUUAGCUAAACCCUUAAAUAUGUAAUUUCCUACUACACCUCUAUAUAAAUUGUAGGCAUUGGCGAACCAACUGGCCUGAUGAUGGAGCUAACGCUUGUAGGCAUUUUUAUCUUGGUAAAGAAACUUAAAUCAAUUUUAUGAUUGCACUUGCAAGGUGCCAGAGCCCCGUUUGGUUACUAGCACUUACUGAUGGGUUGGACAUUUGCAAGAAUCUUAUUUAUAGAGUGAAAUUAGAAAUUAUUUUAGACGCGUUAGAUUCUUUUUAAAAAUUAAACAAUUUCUACUGCCCUUACUGCAAUGGAAAAAUCAAUGGGAGGACCUGGUUCAUCUAAAAUACCCAUUCCAAGAGUCUAAUAACAGUAUCACUAUAAAAGGAAGAUCGAAAAAAGCAAUAUAACAUCGAAAUGGUAGAUUAAACUGGCGACACCGCUGGGAGGGUUCACCACUGAUGAGCCAGGCCCUCCCAUUAAUUUUUCCAUUGCAGUAAGGGCAGUAGAAAUUGUUUAAUUUCAAAAAGAAUCUUACGCGUCUAAAAUAGUUUCUAAUUUUCAUAACAGAUGGCGCGCUAGUGCAUCGUAAUAUAGUGAAAUGACCUUUUUCAUAUUUAGAAACACUUUUAUCUGAGCUAUAAUCCAAAUUGACCCCUUAUCACUUUAUAAUAAUCCAUACACACAGCAUCCCAUUAAUACAUAACAAACUGGCUUGGUGACAACAAGUGUUCACCGUGUUCUAGGACCUCCGUCAACGACCUUGAUAGGUCUAUCAACCCAGGCGAGAACCUGGAACUCCGCCAAUGUCAAAAUCUCAUGAAGA
rnacentral:piRNA from 1 species